CCGGCAGUGGGCCUAGCCCCUCAGGACGGCAGGUUGGAAGUCACGAGAACUGGCGGCCAGCGUGUGUAGGAGUGAAUCCGCUAGUUUGCCAAGCUGAUUGGAAAAAGCAAGCCUGCACCCUCCAAGCUGCACUAUUACACCUGGGAGACGAGCCUCAACCAGAAGUCCCUGAAGAAAUUCUACAAAAGGUUGUUGAUUAAUCAAAGCUGGAGUCAUUUUACAGAGUUAGCACUGUGCAUGUGCAAGACAGGAACCUGUGUCUCCAGGAUGACCUUGGAACCAAGAAUCUUCAGUCUACAGAACUCAAAGAAUAGAAAUCUUGCCACCAGAGCCCUUGACAAAGUGAGAAGUCCUUCAAUAAGGAAAAGCUGGCUUCCAGCAGCAUGAGUAGCUCAUAUGGACUAAUUCAAGACUAACCAAUCACCAUCCAGUGCUGAUACCCCUAAAACAUCUUAUACCAAACUCCAUCUCAACAUCUGCUUCCAAAGAACCCAACCUUAGAGAUUAUUUAAUCUGAACUCUAUCUUUUUUAGAUAAUAAAGAUUAUUUUUUCCAAAUUCAAAACUAUUCUCACUUCUUAUAGAAUAGGUAAAUAUUUAUGUAGAAAGAAAAAAGAAAUCAUGCAUAUUGGCCACCACCUUUGGAGACCGGUGAUUACAAUCUUA